CCGAAAGUGAUCUUGGCUGCCGUGCCCCGGUCAUUGGUAGUGCAGGGAAAGGAUGCGGAAAGACGGGCUCUGAGCUCGGGGUGUCUGGCCUGGAGCUUUCCUACACUUGUGUCUUUCUCUGCAGCCUUACGGAAGUGUGGGUGGCGCUUUCUGGAAGCUGCACGAGUCAGUGCUGGGUCUUUGCAACUUGGUGUUCUGUUUCCAGAAACUUGGGGUGUUUGCAUGUGCUAGGUCAGCACAGAUUUCCAAAGGAUCCCUAGGAUUGUCACGUGUGCUCAACAGUCCUCCUCGGCUUUCCAGAAGAGGCUGGAACAGGGCCCUUGAAGAUGUUUGUGGACAUCAGAGG
rnacentral:lncRNA from 1 species